rnacentral:rRNA from 1 species
UAGGGAAUCUUCGGCAAUGGACGGAAGUCUGACCGAGCAACGCCGCGUGAGUGAAGAAGGUUUUCGGAUCGUAAAGCUCUGUUGUUAGAGAAGAACGUUGGUAGGAGUGGAAAAUCUACCAAGUGACGGUAACUAACCAGAAAGGGACGGCUAACUACGUGCCAGCAGCCGCGGUAAUACGUAGGUCCCGAGCGUUGUCCGGAUUUAUUGGGCGUAAGCGAGCGCUGGCGGUUAUUUAAGUCUGAAGUUAAAGGCAGUGGCUUAACCAUUGUACGCUUUGGAAACUGGAGGACUUGAGUGCAGAAGGGGAGAGUGGAAUUCCAUGUGUAGCGGUGAAAUGCGUAGAUAUAUGGAGGAACACCGGUGGCGAAAGCGGCUCUCUGGUCUGUAACUGACGCUGAGGCUCGGAGGCGUGGGGAACAAACAGG